GGGCUCAUAGCUCAGUUGGUUAGAGCAUCUGACUCAUAAUCAGAGGGUCCGGGGUUCGAGUCCCUGUGAGCCCAC
rnacentral:tRNA from 1 species